rnacentral:piRNA from 1 species
AAACUAAGAUGGUGGGUUAUGAACCUGCGUGU